rnacentral:rRNA from 1 species
CAGCAUGGUCUUAGCUUGCUAAGGCUGAUGGCGACCGGCGCACGGGUGAGUAACACGUAUCCAACCUGCCGAUGACUCGGGGAUAGCCUUUCGAGAGAAAGAUUAAUACCCGAUGGCAUAGUUCUUCCGCAUGGUAGAACUAUUAAAGAAUUUCGGUCAUCGAUGGGGAUGCGUUCCAUUAGGUUGUUGGCGGGGUAACGGCCCACCAAGCCUUCGAUGGAUAGGGGUUCUGAGAGGAAGGUCCCCCACAUUGGAACUGAGACACGGUCCAAACUCCUACGGGAGGCAGCAGUGAGGAAUAUUGGUCAAUGGACGAGAGUCUGAACCAGCCAAGUAGCGUGAAGGAUGACUGCCCUAUGGGUUGUAAACUCCUUUUAUACGGGAAUAAAGUGAGGCACGUGUGCCUUUUUGUAUGUACCGUAUGAAUAAGGAUCGGCUAACUCCGUGCCAGCAGCCGCGGUAAUACGGAGGAUCCGAGCGUUAUCCGGAUUUAUUGGGUUUAAAGGGAGCGUAGGCGGACGCUUAAGUCAGUUGUGAAAGUUUGCGGCUCAACCAUAAAAUUGCAGUUGAUACUGGGUGUCUUGAGUACAGUAGAGGCAGGCGGAAUUCGUGGUGUAGCGGUGAAAUGCUUAGAUAUCACGAAGAACUCCGAUUGCGAAGGCAGCCUGCUGGACUGUA